rnacentral:miRNA from 1 species
UACUAUGAUGUCAUCACUUUAAUGACAUCAUAGUGAUGUCAUCACUUUGAUGUCAUUAAAGUGAUGACAUCACAGCCCUG